rnacentral:rRNA from 1 species
AUGGCGACCGGCGUACGGGUGAGUAACGCGUAUCCAACCUGGCCGUGACAGAUGGAUAACCGGGAGAAAUCCCGCCUAAUACAGCAUGACGCCGGGAAGGGACAUCCCUUUCCGGCCAAAGGGGGCGACUCCGGUCACGGAUGGGCAUGCGGCGCAUUAGGUAGUUGGUGGGGCAACGGCCCACCAAGCCGACGAUGCGUAGGGGUUCUGAGAGGAAGGUCCCCCACAUUGGAACUGAGACACGGUCCAAACUCCUACGGGAGGCAGCAG